rnacentral:rRNA from 1 species
AGCGAACGCUGGCGGCAGGCUUAACACAUGCAAGUCGAACGCCCCGCAAGGGGAGUGGCAGACGGGUGAGUAACACGUGGGAACGUACCCUUGGUUCGGAAUAACUUGGGGAAACUCAAGCUAAUACCGGAUAAGCCCUUAUGGGGAAAGGUUUACUGCCGAAGGAUCGGCCCGCGUCUGAUUAGCUAGUUGGUGAGAUAAUGGCUCACCAAGGCGACGAUCAGUAGCUGGUCUGAGAGGAUGAUCAGCCACACUGGGACUGAGACACGGCCCAGACUCCUACGGGAGGCAGCAGUGGGGAAUAUUGGACAAUGGGGGCAACCCUGAUCCAGCCAUGCCGCGUGAGUGAUGAAGGCCUUAGGGUUGUAAAGCUCUUUUACCCGGGACGAUAAUGACUGUACCGGGAGAAUAAGCCCCGGCUAACUUCGUGCCAGCCGCCGCAGUAA